UGGGGAAUAUUGGACAAUGGGGGCAACCCUGAUCCAGCAAUGCCGCGUGUGUGAAGAAGGUUUUCGGAUUGUAAAGCACUUUCGGCGGGGACGAUGAUGACGGUACCCGCAGAAGAAGCCCCGGCUAACUUCGUGCCAGCAGCCGCGGUAAUACGAAGGGGGCUAGCGUUGCUCGGAAUGACUGGGCGUAAAGGGCGUGUAGGCGGUUUGUACAGUCAGAUGUGAAAUCCCCGGGCUUAACCUGGGAGCUGCAUUUGAUACGUGCAGACUAGAGUGUGAGAGAGGGUUGUGGAAUUCCCAGUGUAGAGGUGAAAUUCGUAGAUAUUGGGAAGAACACCGGUGGCGAAGGCGGCAACCUGGCUCAUGACUGACGCUGAGGCGCGAAAGCGUGGGGAGCAAACAGGAUUAGAUACCCUGGUAGUCCACGCUGUAAACGAUGUGUGCUGGAUGUUGGGCAACUUAGUUGUUCAGUGUCGUAGCUAACGCGAUAAGCACACCGCCUGGGGAGUACGGCCGCAA
rnacentral:rRNA from 1 species